UACGGGGGGGGCAAGCGUUGUUCGGAAUUACUGGGCGUAAAGGGCUCGUAGGCGGCCAACUAAGUCAGACGUGAAAUCCCUCAGCUUAACUGGGGAACUGCGUCUGAUACUGGAUGGCUUGGAUUCGGGAGAGGAAUGCGGAAUUCCAGGUGUAGCGGUGAAAUGCGUAGAGAUGUGGAGGAACACCGAUGGCGAAGGCAGCCCCCUGGGUCAAAACUGACGCUCAUGCAUGAAAGCGUGGGGAGCAAACAGG
rnacentral:rRNA from 1 species